GCUCUGCCCGUGAGAAGGUGCUCAAGAAGCUGGGAGGGAGCACAGCUGACCUGAAGUCAUACACCUGAGUGACAAAAAUGUUGCAUCCAAAAAGCUGAAGUUGAAUCAAGAUGAAGGAAAAUUAAAGAUUGCUUUUGGUCUGAGAAAGAAAGAAGCAGACCUGAGGGAGGUUCAAGAUAAGUUGCUGUACUCCACCAGACAUGAGAAUCCAAGAAGGAAAGAGAAGGCUGACUUGGAAAUCAGGUUGACUUAUGCAGCAAAAAACUACAAUGAACACAACAACUGAUUGGUGGCCUUGGGGAUGAGAAAAUUCACUGGCAUGAGACUGCUUUGGAGCUGGGAAGGUUCACAUUUGGAAGUAGAGAUGCGUGGAUAACACUUCAGCUCUGGCAACCGGAUAGGUGACAAAGUGCAAAAUUAAACAG